AUCCCUUGACAUCAUCAGAAUUUGUUAGAGAUAACUUAGUGCCUUCGGGAACUGGUUGAC
rnacentral:rRNA from 1 species